rnacentral:rRNA from 1 species
CCUACGGGAGGCAGCAGUGGGGAAUAUUGGGCAAUGGAGGCAACUCUGACCCAGCAACGCCGCGUGAAUGAUGAAGGUCUUCGGAUUGUAAAGUUCUUUUCUAAGGGAAGAAGAAAGUGACUGUACCUUAGGAAUAAGCCUCGGCUAACUACGUGCCAGCAGCCGCGGUAAUACGUAGGAGGCAAGCGUUAUCCGGAAUGACUGGGCGUAAAGGGUGCGUAGGUGGUUUGACAAGUUAGUAGCGCAACUCCGGAGCUCAACUUCGGAACUACUACUAAAACUGUUGGACUUGAGUGCAGGAGGGGCAAUCGGAAUUCCUAGUGUAGCGGUGGAAUGCGUAGAUAUUAGGAGGAACACCAGUGGCGAAGGCGGAUUGCUGGACUGUAACUGACACUGAGGCACGAAAGCGUGGGGAGCAAACAGGAUUAGAUACCCUAGUAGUC